rnacentral:rRNA from 1 species
GCUAGGAUGAACGCUAGCUACAGGCUUAACACAUGCAAGUCGAGGGGCAGCAUUGGAGUAGCAAUACUCAGAUGGCGACCGGCGCACGGGUGAGUAACACGUAUCCAACCUGCCGCUUACUCGGGGAUAGCCUUUCGAAAGAAAGAUUAAUACCCGAUGGUAUAAAGAGUUCGCAUGUUCUCUUUAUUAAAGAAUUUCGGUAAGCGAUGGGGAUGCGUUCCAUUAGAUUGUUGGCGGGGUAACGGCCCACCAAGUCUACGAUGGAUAGGGGUUCUGAGAGGAAGGUCCCCCACAUUGGAACUGUGACACGGUCCAAACUCCUACGGGAGGCAGCAGUGAGGAAUAUUGGUCAAUGGACGAGAGUCUGAACCAGCCAAAAGUAGCGUGAAGGAUGACUGCCCUAUGGGUUGUAAACUUCUUUUAUAAGGGAAUAAAGUGAGGGACGUGUCCCUUUUUGUAUGUACCUUAUGAAUAAGGAUCGGCUAACUCCGUGCCAGCCGCCGC